rnacentral:rRNA from 1 species
AUUGAACGCUGGCGGCAGGCCUAACACAUGCAAGUCGAGCGGAGCGGCGGACGGGUGAGUAAUGCCUAGGAAUCUGCCUGGUAGUGGGGGAUAACGUCCAGAAAAGGACGCUAAUACCGCAUCCUCUCAGAUGAGCCUCGGGCGGAUUAGCUAGUUGGUGGGGGAAAGGCCUACCAAGGAGACGAUCCGUAACUGGUCUGAGAGGAUGAUCAGUCACACUGGAACUGAGACACGGUCCAGACUCCUACGGGAGGCAGCAGUGGGGAAUAUUGGACAAUGGGCGAAAGCCUGAUCCAGCCAUGCCGCGUGUGUGAAGAAGGUCUUCGGAUUGUAAAGCACUUUAAGUUGGGAGGCGUUACCAACAGAAUAAGCACCGGCUAACUUCGUGCCAGCCGCCGCGGUAAUUC